CGAGUUUUUGCUGUUCCCUUGUAUAUCGCUUUCUAUUGCGGAUACGAAGACCAAAGGUAAGAAUCUCUGUGUGGCAAGGUGCGGGGUACUGCCCCGGGCGAUUGAUUGCGAAUGAAGAUCAAGCAUUGCAACGGUAUUUAAGAACAACAUAACUGAAAUUGCAACCUUUUUCGACCAGGGCACUGCUAUCCAUAGUCUCUUGAAGCGGCAAGCAAUAUCACCAGGAAUUUCCUGGCCUGCGACAGCAGACGGUGGCUCUGGCGUGGCCCCCGGAAGGCCUGACCGUCGCCUGAAAUCAUUUUGAGGAAGGCGUGGCAUUAUCGGCUUCAUUGUGAUAACUCUCGACUCUCUAGAAUGGGGCUGGUCUGUCAUAUCGCCCGUACUUCGGCCGCCGGUCACGGAGCCAUGGCAUGUCUCAUCGCGUUCCGGCUGGCAACGAGGGUCCCGGCCGAGUUUUCUGAAAGCGGGACACUCGUUUAUCCGAUUUCGGACUCUUAGGUCACGCCGAGUGGCCCGGGUAAAACCUGAGGAAGGAACACAGGUUUGCCUUGUGGGUAGAGAUGCGAACGAGUUCUCAUCCUCUAGUUUUGUUCUUGUCACUGUCAUGGACGACCAGGACAAACCCGGCCAAAAUGCCCGGGAUUUGCGGCAGGGGUUGUCUGCCAUCAGGAUCAGCAAAUGCUAUGCCUCUCCUCCAGAGCUAUGACUAGAACCGCCAUUUAACGUUCGGGGAACUACAAAUCAAAUCAAACUUCUGCCGCGUGCACAGACGACAACAAGGGGGACGAAGAACGUACCUCAGGAAAAUAGCGGCUAGGAGGCACCAAUAGAGGAUUAAAUACUGGACUGUAAAGAAGUGAAUAUAGAC
rnacentral:lncRNA from 1 species